GAAAAAACAGAAAACUUAUUUUCCCCCAUUCCAUAAAAUUACUUCUAUCCUCGUAGGACUCAACAGAGGAUUUUGCUUGAUACUUGCCUGCAGUCACAUGAAAUUCACUUUCCCAGUUGUUCACCAGGAAGUGAUUAAUGAUGAGCCUGAAAGUCACCACUCAGAAAGUCUGUUCUUUAUGACUUUGGCCUACUUUUCUGAAAAUGGACUCAGAGUCUCAUGCAAGAAGAACUGCUGAGACAUGUGCACCAGUAUUCAAGAUCACCAAAACACUUCCAAUGGCCUGGCAGAUUCAUCAAGAGCCCAACUUCUCACAGGAUAUCCUUUCACACUCUUCCUCUGUAAAUUGCUGGGCAAGCCCUUAAUCAGCUCUUCCUUAUUUUCCUUCACUCUUCUAUUCCAUAGUGAAGAGAUCUACUCUGAUUCUGAAGCAGAGAAAGAAAUUCACCAAUCACUUUUCUUCUUUACAUCUAACAACAACAACAACAACAACACAUUGUUCAGCUUUGCCGGUUCAAGAAGCCUAAAAAGGUUCUCUUCUUUUAAUAGCUCCCCCCCACCCCAUCCAUCUGCCUGCCAUUUGCUUCCAGAGCCUGGAAGCAUUACAAUUUCCAGAGCAGCCACAGCAAAGGGAGAAGCAGAAGUCUGGCGACUGCCAGAGUUUGCAACUGUGUUUAGCACGGGAAAAAUAAACAAUGGUCGCCAGACCACCCAGAAGGUGUGA
rnacentral:lncRNA from 1 species